AUGAGCAGGUUUGUGGACAAUGUCGCCCCCUUCCGGCUGCAUGAUGAACAGCAGGAAGGAGUCUCAGUGCAGGAACUGAGACAAAGUGCUCCAUGGAAGAUAUCUGACAAAGAAUUUGAGGCCUUUAAAUGGAAGUCUGAGAGAAAAGUGAGGCUGAACGAAAUCAUUCGGAAGAAUUCACAACAUACUGCUCUUGUUCUAGUGAGCCUUCCGGUUCCUCAAAGUGACUGCCCCAGUGCUCUGUAUAUGGCCUGGAUGGACACUCUGACAUGUGGCCUUCACUGCCCUGCUGUGUUAAUACGAGAACCAACAGAACGUCCUCACAUUCUACUGCCAGUAAAAUUUCAUGUUUAGACUGAAAGAGUCUGACCGGAGUAAAGAACUGACAGGGAAGCAAUAGUCUAUGAAUAGUAGAAAAAUUUAAUGUUUGAAUACUAAAAAAACUACAAAGGGGAUAAAACAGGUUUAUAGCUCCUACUGGAGUCAAAUGAGUUAACUACAAUGUAUGGAUGUAAUGUCUUGUAAAGUUUUUUUUUUGCCGUGGAUCUUCAUCCACAUGGUUCUGCUGACAGUUCAUAGUUACAUUUCUUGGUUAUUAACAAAGUGAAGGGGAAGGAAAAAAAACAAUAUCACCAGUUCUGCCAGAACGUAAGAGAAAAAGUGUUGCACGAAUCAUGAACUCAGAAACACACAGGAUCGUUGGGUUCCUGACUUUAUGGGAUCUAGGUCCAGUUGGCCCCAAGUGUAAAGGAUUGCUAAUCAUAGAAAUAGAUGUAUGCACAGUAGAAAUGGUUUGCAUAAUAAUGAAAACUAAGCCAUCAGGACUUCUUUCUGAUGGCAGAAUGUGGAGCUCUCCAGGAAGAUUCAAACUCUUUCUUUUCAAAGACCUUGUCCCUUUUAGUGUUUUGAAGUGACUUUAAAUAGGGCGACUGUGACUUGAUGUAGUCGUCUUGCAAUUGGAAGGUUGUGGAUUUGAUUUCCUUGUCACAUGUUGAUGUGCCCCUGGAUAAGGAACUUAAUCCCAAGUUUCCUACGCAGCUUGCGUACCAGUGUCUGAAUGUGUGCGCGUUAUUGAGUGCGAUUGGGUGAAUGAGCCUCUAGUGUACAGCGCUUUGAGUGGUCAGUAUGACUGGAAAAGCACCAUAUAAGUUCAGUCCAUUUACCAUUUUAUAUACUUAAGUAGAUAUUCAUAUCCAUUUAUUAAAACAAUCACCACUGUAUAGAUAUAAGAGCUGAUGUAUCUGCCUAUGAGAGAUCUGUUCCACAUAAAGGAAUUGUUCCAUACAGGUGAACUCUGGCUUAAA